UGUGCCUCUUGAGACACUGAGAUGUGGCCGUUGUAUCACAUGAGCAGUAGGUGGUAGAGAGGAGAGACACUAUGUCUAUGCUCAAUGUUCUGACCUGUGAACUCUGAAUGAUUAGUAGCCUAGCAUU